AUCACUUAUACAGAUUGUGAAAGAAGCCGGUGGUAAUCUCUAUAUCAGUUUAUCAGCUCUAAAAAGCAGUUUUUAUUGCUACGUUUGAAUGAUCAAUAUGGAUCAAGAAAGUAAACAACUUCUUUGUCACAUAUGUGGCAAAAGGUUAUCCAGUGUGUCUACAUUCAACCGCCAUAUAAAACAGGUGCACCUGCAAGAGCCACUUACAGGAAAGGACACGAAGAAUAUCAAAUGUCCACUUUGUGAG